rnacentral:rRNA from 1 species
UACGUAGGUGGCAAGCGUUGUCCGGAAUUACUGGGCGUAAAGCGUGCGCAGGCGGCUUUGCAAGACAGAUGUGAAAUCCCCGGGCUCAACCUGGGAACUGCAUUUGUGACUGCAUGGCUAGAGUGCGGCAGAGGGGGAUGGAAUUCCGCGUGUAGCAGUGAAAUGCGUAGAUAUGCGGAGGAACACCGAUGGCGAAGGCAAUCCCCUGGGCCUGCACUGACGCUCAUGCACGAAAGCGUGGGGAGCAAACAGG